GUUGCCUCGGCGGGAUCUCUGCCCCGGGUGCGUCGCAGCCCCGGACCAAGGCGCCCGCCGGAGGACCAACCAAAACUCUUUUGUAUACCCCCUCGCGGGUUUUUUAUAUCUGAGCCAUCUCGGCGCCUCUCGUAGGCGUUUCGAAAAUGAAUCAAAACUUUCAACAACGGAUCUCUUGGUUCUGGCAUCGAUGAAGAACGCAGCGAAAUGCGAUAAGUAAUGUGAAUUGCAGAAUUCAGUGAAUCAUCGAAUCUUUGAACGCACAUUGCGCCCGCCAGUAUUCUGGCGGGCAUGCCUGUCCGAGCGUCAUUUCAACCCUCGAACCCCUCCGGGGGGUCGGCGUUGGGGAUCGGCCCUUUACGGGGCCGGCCCCGAAAUACAGUGGCGGUCUCGCCGCAGCCUCUCCUGCGCAGUAGUUUGCACACUCGCAUCGGGAGCGCGGCGCGUCCAUUGCCGUAAAACACCCAACUUUCUGAAAUGUUGACCUCGGAUCAGGUAGGAAUACCCGCUGAACUUAAGCAUAUCAAUAAGCGGAGGAAAU
rnacentral:rRNA from 1 species